rnacentral:rRNA from 1 species
UACAGAGACUGCGAGCGUUUAUUCGGAUUCACUGGGCGUAAAGGGUGCGCAGGCGGCCAAGUGUGUUAGGCGUGAAAGCCUGGGGCUUAACCUCAGAAUUGCACCUAAAACUACAUGGCUAGAGCAUUGGAGAGGGUAGCGGAAUUCACGGUGUAGCAGUGAAAUGCGUAGAUAUCGUGAGGAACACCAGAGGCGAAGGCGGCUACCUGGACAAUUGCUGACGCUCAGGCACGAAAGCGUGGGGAGCAAAAGGG